rnacentral:rRNA from 1 species
UUCCUACGGGACGCAGCAGUGAGGAAUAUUGGUCAAUGGCCGAGAGGCUGAACCAGCCAAGUCGCGUGAGGGAAGAAUGUCCUAUGGAUUGUAAACCUCUUUUGUCAGGGAACAAAGGCGGGGACGUGUCCCCGGAUGAGUGUACCUGAAGAAAAAGCAUCGGCUAACUCCGUGCCAGCAGCCGCGGUAAUACGGAGGAUACGAGCGUUAUCCGGAUUUAUUGGGUUUAAAGGGUGCGCAGGCGGUCUGUUAAGUCAGCGGUCAAAGCCCGGGGCUCAACCCCGGCCCGCCGUUGAAAUUGGCCG